AGAGAGAGACAUGCGCGCAUAUCAAUAAGCGGAGGAAAAGAAACUAACAAGGGAUUCCCCUAGUAACGGCGAGUGAAGCGGGAAGAGCUCAAAUUUGAAAUCUUAAAGGGUUUCCCUUUACGAAUUGUAGUUUAAAGAAGUGUUUUCUGUUGAGGUUUUGGUAAAAGUUCUUUGGAAUAGGACAUCAUAGAGGGUGAGAAUCCCGUAUUUGACCUUUACUUUCAACUUUGUGAUACACUUUCAAAGAGUCGGAUUGUUUGGGAAUGCAGUCCAAAAUGGGUGGUAAAUUUCAUCUAAAGCUAAAUAUUGGCGAGAGACCGAUAGCGAACAAGUACCGUGAGGGAAAGAUGAAAAGAACUUUGAAAAGAGAGUUAAACAGUACGUGAAAUUGUCAAAAGGGAAGCGUUUGACACCAGUGUUGUUUUUCUGAAAAUCAAUUAAAGAACUGUUUAUGCUAAGUUGUUUAGACUUUAUCAGCUAACUGUUUAGUUUUGAGCUUUUCUUUAAUGCACUUUUCAGUUAACAAGUCAACAUCAAUUUCUUUUGCUGUAAAAAAGCUUGAGGAAGGUGGCUUGAGAUUCGUCUUAAGUGUUUAUAGCCUCUUGCCUAUGCAGUCGGAGAGAUUGAGGUCUGCAGCGUAGAUCCUUCGGGGCUAAAUGCAUUUGUGCUAAGUUAUAGCAUUUUAUAGACAACUUGUUGACUAUGAUUUGUCUUGUAGCUUACUCGCUUAUGUUAUUUUACCUACGCUUAGGAUGUUGAGCGCAUGUCUCUCUCU
rnacentral:rRNA from 1 species